CGCUGAUGCACGAGAGCGUGGGUAGCGAACAGGAUUAGAUACCCUGGUAGUCCACGCCGUAAACGAUGCUCACUGGUUCUGUGCGAUAUAUUGUACGGGAUUAAGCGAAAGUAUUAAGUGAGCCACCUGGGGAGUACGUCGGCAACGAUGAAACUCAAAGGAAUUGACGGGGGCCCGCACAAGCGGAGGAACAUGUGGUUUAAUUCGAUGAUACGCGAGGAACCUUACCCGGGCUUGAAUUGCAGAGGAAGGAUUUGGAGACAAUGACGCCCUUCGGGGUCUCUGUGAAGGUGCUGCAUGGUUGUCGUCAGCUCGUGCCGUGAGGUGUCGGCUUAAGUGCCAUAACGAGCGCAACCCCUCUCCUUAGUUGCCAUCAGGUUAAGCUGGGCACUCUGGGGACACUGCCACCGUAAGGUGUGAGGAAGGUGGGGAUGACGUCAAAUCAGCACGGCCCUUACGUCCGGGGCUACACACGUGUUACAAUGGCCGGUACAGAGGGCCGCUACCAGGUGACUGGAUGCCAAUCUCAAAAGCCGGUCGUAGUUCGGAUUGGAGUCUGUAACCCGACUCCAUGAAGUUGGAUUCGCUAGUAAUCGCGCAUCAGCCAUGGCGCGGUGAAUACGUUCCCGGGCCUUGUACACACCGCCCGUCAAGCCAUGAAAGCCGGGGGCGCCUAAAGUCCGUGACCGUAAGGAGCGGCCUAGGGCGAAACUGGUAAUUGGGGCUAAGUCGUAACAAGGUAGCCGUACCGGAAGGUGCGGCUG
rnacentral:rRNA from 1 species